GACGAACGCUGGCGGCGUGCUUAACACAUGCAAGUCGAACGGAAAGGCCCUGCUUUUGUGGGGUGCUCGAGUGGUGAACGGGUGAGUAACACGUGAGUAACCUGCCCUUGACUUUGGGAUAACUUCAGGAAACUGGGGCUAAUACCGGAUAGGAGCUCCUGCUGCAUGGUGGGGGUUGGAAAGUUUCGGCGGUUGGGGAUGGACUCGCGGCUUAUCAGCUUGUUGGUGGGGUAGUGGCUUACCAAGGCUUUGACGGGUAGCCGGCCCGAGAGGGUGACCGGCCACAUUGGGACUGAGAUACGGCCCAGACUCCUACGGGAGGCAGCAGUGGGGAAUAUUGCACAAUGGGCGGAAGCCUGAUGCAGCAACGCCGCGUGCGGGAUGACGGCCUUCGGGUUGUAAACCGCUUUCGCCUGUGACGAAGCGUGAGUGACGGUAAUGGGUAAAGAAGCACCGGCUAACUACGUG
rnacentral:rRNA from 1 species